UACGGAGGGGGCUAGCGUUGUUCGGAAUUACUGGGCGUAAAGCGCACGUAGGCGGCUUUGUAAGUUAGAGGUAAAAGCCCGGGGCUCAACUCCGGAAUUGCCUUUAAGACUGCAUCGCUCGAAUUGUGGAGAGGUAAGUGGAAUUCCGAGUGUAGAGGUGAAAUUCGUAGAUAUUCGGAAGAACACCAGUGGCGAAGGCGACUUACUGGACACAUAUUGACGCUGAGGUGCGAAAGCGUGGGGAGCAAACAGG
rnacentral:rRNA from 1 species